GCUUGGCUGCUACAGGGACUCCAGGAAAAGGGUUCUUAGUGGACGACGGACGCAUGGCAAUCACAUGACAGUUGGCCGCUGUAGACGAAGAUGUGAGAAAGAGAGAAAACGAUUUUACGGACUUGAGGCUGGCAAUGAAUGUUUCUGUGGGAAUUCCAUGCGGUUCAAAAAAAGAAAACCAUUGAAAGAAUGCAGGAUGAAAUGUAAGGGAAAUCACGAGGCUUGUGGAGGCGUCUGGAGGAUCUUGAUUUACAGAAACCCGAAAUACCGCAAUUCAGG